AGUGAACGCUGGCGGUAGGCCUAACACAUGCAAGUAGAACGGCAGCACAGUAAGAGCUUGCUCUUACGGGUGGCGAGUGGCGGACGGGUGAGGAAUACAUCGGAAUCUACUUUUUCGUGGGGGAUAACGUAGGUAAACUUACGCUAAUACCGCAUACGACCUACGGGUGAAAGCAGGGGAUCUUCGGACCUUGCGCGAUUGAUUGAGCCGAUGUCGGAUUAGCUAGUUGGCGGGGUAAAGGCCCACCAAGGCGACGAUCCGUAGCUGGUCUGAGAGGAUGAUCAGCCACACUGGAACUGAGACACGGUCCAGACUCCUACGGGAGGCAGCAGUGGGGAAUAUUGGACAAUGGGCGCAAGCCUGAUCCAGCCAUACCGCGUGGGUGAAGAAGGCCUUCGGGUUGUAAAGCCCUUUUGUUGGGAAAGAAAAGCAGCAGGUUAAUACCCCGCUGUUCUGACGGUACCCAAAGAAUAAGCACCGGCUAACUUCGUG
rnacentral:rRNA from 1 species